GGUAGUUUAGAGUCCAGGACAAGUUAUGUGAUGCAUGCAGCCAUGUCAUCCAGGAGAUCUCAGAAGGAAUAAUGGGAGAGCUACUCAUUUCCUUGGAAGAGUAAUUCUACCAUUCCAGCCUGUGUUAUAUAUGACUCAAAACUUCAGAUGUGGGAUUUUGCUGGCACCUGGUUUUAUUCUCUGAAAGAUCACAACAAAGAAAUAAACAGAUUUUUA
rnacentral:lncRNA from 11 species